GAGGGUAUAGCUCAAUGGUACAGUGCGUGCUUAGCAUGCAUGAGGUUCUGGGUUCAGUCCCCAGUACCUCCA
rnacentral:tRNA from 1 species